rnacentral:misc_RNA from 1 species
UUAACUAUUAUAUAAGUUACUCAGACGACGCCAAAUAAUUCAGAGUUUGGGAUUCUCUGGCAAGCUCACACCAGCAGGUGCCGGUGGCCUAAGGCGGCUUGCCAAAGCAACAAAGGUACAGUUUUCACGGGUGGGAGAUCUACCUAGAAGGCAUGAACUCUGUAAUGAUCCUUCCGCAGGUUCACCUACGGAAA